rnacentral:rRNA from 1 species
CCAGACUCCUACGGGAGGCAGCAGUGAGGAAUAUUGGUCAAUGGGCGGAAGCCUGAACCAGCCAAGUCGCGUGAGGGAAGAAGGCCCUGCGGGUCGCAGACCUCUUUGGACGGGGAGCAAGGCCGCCGACGUGUCGGCGGAAGGAGAGUACCCGUAGAACAAGCAUCGGCUAACUCCGUGCCAGCAGCCGCGGUAAUACGGAGGAUGCGAGCGUUAUCCGGAUUUACUGGGUAUAAAGGGAGCGUAGACGGCGCGGCAAGUCUGAAGUGAAAGGCAGGGGCUUAACCCCUGAACUGCUUUGGAAACUGCCAUGCUAGAGUGCUGGAGAGGUAAGUGGAAUUCCUAGUGUAGCGGUGAAAUGCGUAGAUAUUAGGAGGAACACCAGUGGCGAAGGCGGCUUACUGGACAGUAACUGACGUUGAGGCUCGAAAGCGUGGGGAGCAAACAGGAUUAGAUACCCGAGUAC